rnacentral:rRNA from 1 species
GGCGAACGGGUGAGUAACACGUGAGUAACCUGCCCUUGACUUUGGGAUAACUUCAGGAAACUGGGGCUAAUACCGGAUAGGAGCUCCUGCUGCAUGGUGGGGGUUGGAAAGUUUCGGCGGUUGGGGAUGGACUCGCGACUUAUCAGCUUGUUGGUGGGGUAGUGGCUUACCAAGGCUUUGACGGGUAGCCGGCCUGAGAGGGUGACCGGCCACAUUGGGACUGAGAUACGGCCCAG